rnacentral:rRNA from 1 species
AACGAACGCUGGCGGCGCGCCUAAUACAUGCAAGUCGAGCGAGAAGACGUAGCAAUACGUUUGUAAAGCGGCGAACGGGUGAGGAAUACAUGGGUAACCUACCCUAGAGUGGGGAAUAACUAGCCGAAAGGUUAGCUAAUACCGCGUACGCUCCUUGGACUUCGGUUCAGGGAGGAAAGCGAUACCGAGGGUAUCGCGCUCUUGGAUGGGCUCAUGUCCUAUCAGCUUGUUGGGAGGUAACGGCUCACCAAGGCUUCGACGGGUAGCUGGUCUGAGAGGACGAUCAGCCACACUGGCACUGCGACACGGGCCAGACUCCUACGGGAGGCAGCAGUAAGGAAUAUUGCGCAAUGGGCGAAAGCCUGACGCAGCGACGCCGCGUGGGGGA